AAAGGAAUUGACGGGGCCGCACAAGCGGUGGAGCAUGUGGUUAAUUCGACGCAACGCGAAGAACCUUACCAGGGCUUGACAUCCCCUGACCGCGUAUGAAAGUACGUUUUCACCCUCGGGUGACAGGGAGACAGGUGGUGCAUGGUUGUCGUCAGCUCGUGUCGUGAGAUGUUGGGUUAAGUCCCGCAACGAGCGCAACCCCUACGUUUAGUUGCUAACAGGUGAAGCUGAGCACUCUAGACGAACUGCCGUUGACAAAACGGAGGAAGUGGGGAUGACGUCAAAUCAUCAUGCCCCUUAUGUUCUGGGCUACACACGUGCUACAAUGGCCGGUACAGACGGACGCAAAGCCGCGAGGUGGAGCAAAUCCUAAAAAGCCGGUCUCAGUUCGGAUUGCAGGCUGCAAUUCGCCUGCAUGAAGUCGGAAUCGCUAGUAAUCGCAGGUCAGCAUACUGCGGUGAAUACGUUCCCGGGCCUU
rnacentral:rRNA from 1 species